GUACCCCUACGGGGCGCAGCAGUGAGGAAUAUUGGUCAAUGGUCGGGAGACUGAACCAGCCACGCCGCGUGAGGGAUGAAGAUACAGAGUAUCGUAAACCUCUUUUGUCAGGGAACAAAGGCGGGGACGUGUCCCCGGAUGAGUGUACCUGAAGAAAAAGCAUCGGCUAACUCCGUGCCAGCAGCCGCGGUAAUACGGAGGAUGCGAGCGUUAUCCGGAUUUAUUGGGUUUAAAGGGUG
rnacentral:rRNA from 1 species